UAAAACUUAAACCUAAAACCCAAUGAAAAUCCUAAGCAUUAGAUCCAAAGGGUAAAUUCUUAUCCCAAAUAAUAUACCCACAAGUCUAAACCCAAAAAAUAAACAUGAAACUCUGAACCCAGAAUAAAUCGUGAACCCAAACUCAUAAGAUAAACUUUAACCCUUAAAUCCUAAACCAUAAGGAUAAAUAUUAAAUCUAAAGGAUAAACACUAAACCCUAACACGAACGAUAAAAUCUACUUCAAAAGAUGAACCUUAACCUUGUAUCAGAAAUAGACCCUAAACCCAAAGGAUAAACCCUUAACCCAAAACCCAAAGAAUAAAUCAUAAACCCAAAAUCAUAUGAUAAACACUAAAUCCA
rnacentral:lncRNA from 1 species